rnacentral:rRNA from 1 species
AGCAUGAACGGUCAAACAGGUAAUUUUAUGUCUCUGUAAACGUAUUAAUUUCUAAUUUAAGUAAAAAUACUUAAAUAUUUAAGUGGGACGACAAGACCCUAAAAUCUUGAGUCUAUAUAUUUAGUUAAUUUAAUGGUGGUGCAAUUAAAGUUACGAGAUUUUAACUGGGGCAGUUUUUUUAUUUUAGUUAAGUUUUAUGAAAACAAUUUUAUGGAAAGUAGGUCCUUUAUAUAAGGAUAAAUAGAAAUAGUUACUUUAGGGGUAACAGCGCAAUAUACCCGGUAAGAUCUUAUUUAUGGGUGUGACUGCGACCUCGAUGUUGAAUUAAAAUACCGCUACGAGGCAGCAGGCGUAUAGGGGGGUUUGUUCAACCUUUAAAUUUUUACAUGAUUU